UUUCCGUAGGUGAACCUGCAGAAGGAUCAUUAUUGUAUAACCGAGGCGCGAGGGCUGUCGCUGAACCGAGAGGCCGUGCACGCCCGAGUGCACUCACACACAUCCAUCUCACCCCUAUGUGCACCACCGCGUGGGUCCCCCUUUGGCUUGUUCGGAGGCGAGCUUACGUUUUCGCUAAAACUUUGUAUGAAGUGUAGAAUGUAUUUUUUGUUUUUGCGAUCACGCAAUCAAUACAACUUUCAACAACGGAUCUCUUGGCUCUC
rnacentral:misc_RNA from 1 species